UUAAGCGACUAAGCGUACACGGUGGAUGCCCUGGCAGUCAGAGGCGAUGAAGGGCGUGCUAAUCUGCGAUAAGCGCCGGUAAGGUGAUAUGAACCGUUAUAACCGGCGAUACCCGAAUGGGGAAACCCAGUGUGAUUCGUCACACUAUCAUUAACUGAAUCCAUAGGUUAAUGAGGCGAACCGGGGGAACUGAAACAUCUAAGUACCCCGAGGAAAAGAAAUCAACCGAGAUUCCCCCAGUAGCGGCGAGCGAACGGGGAGGAGCCCAGAGCCUGAAUCAGCAUGUGUGUUAGUGGAAGCGUCUGGAAAGGCGCGCGAUACAGGGUGACAGCCCCGUACACAAAAGCGCAUGUGCUGUGAGCUCGAUGAGUAGGGCGGGACACGUGGUAUCCUGUCUGAAUAUGGGGGGACCAUCCUCCAAGGCUAAAUACUCCUGACUGACCGAUAGUGAACCAGUACCGUGAGGGAAAGGCGAAAAGAACCCCGGCGAGGGGAGUGAAAAAGAACCUGAAACCGUGUACGUACAAGCAGUGGGAGCACAGGUUUACCUGUGUGACUGCGUACCUUUUGUAUAAUGGGUCAGCGACUUAUAUUCUGUAGCAAGGUUAACCGUAUAGGGGAGCCGGAGGGAAACCGAGUCUUAACCGGGCGUUAAGUUGCAGGGUAUAGACCCGAAACCCGGUGAUCUAGCCAUGGGCAGGUUGAAGGUUGGGUAACACUAACUGGAGGACCGAACCGACUAAUGUUGAAAAAUUAGCGGAUGACCUGUGGCUGGGGGUGAAAGGCCAAUCAAACCGGGAGAUAGCUGGUUCUCCCCGAAAGCUAUUUAGGUAGCGCCUCGUGAAUUCAUCUCCGGGGGUAGAGCACUGUUUCGGCUAGGGGGCCAUCCCGGCUUACCAACCCGAUGCAAACUGCGAAUACCGGAGAAUGUUAUCACGGGAGACACACGGCGGGUGCUAACGUCCGUCGUGAAGAGGGAAACAACCCAGACCGCCAGCUAAGGUCCCAAAGUCAUGGUUAAGUGGGAAACGAUGUGGGAAGGCCCAGACAGCCAGGAUGUUGGCUUAGAAGCAGCCAUCAUUUAAAGAAAGCGUAAUAGCUCACUGGUCGAGUCGGCCUGCGCGGAAGAUGUAACGGGGCUAAACCAUGCACCGAAGCUGCGGCAGCGAACGUAUCACCCAAGACAACUUUACGGAGUUGACGAUUGACGGAGCGAAGCGACGUCAAAGCGUUCAUUAAAGUCGAGUUGGCUUAGGGAUACGUUCGUUGGGUAGGGGAGCGUUCUGUAAGCCUGUGAAGGUGUGUCGUGAGGCAUGCUGGAGGUAUCAGAAGUGCGAAUGCUGACAUAAGUAACGAUAAAGCGGGUGAAAAGCCCGCUCGCCGGAAGACCAAGGGUUCCUGUCCAACGUUAAUCGGGGCAGGGUGAGUCGACCCCUAAGGCGAGGCCGAAAGGCGUAGUCGAUGGGAAACGGGUUAAUAUUCCCGUACUUGGUGUUACUGCGAAGGGGGGACGGAGAAGGCUAUGUUGGCCGGGCGACGGUUGUCCCGGUUUAAGCGUGUAGGUGUGUGUUCCAGGUAAAUCCGGUUCACUUUAACACUGAGGCGUGACGACGAGGCACUACGGUGCUGAAGCAACAAAUGCCCUGCUUCCAGGAAAAGCCUCUAAGCAUCAGGUAACACGAAAUCGUACCCCAAACCGACACAGGUGGUCAGGUAGAGAAUACCAAGGCGCUUGAGAGAACUCGGGUGAAGGAACUAGGCAAAAUGGUGCCGUAACUUCGGGAGAAGGCACGCUGACACGUAGGUGAAGUGAUUUACUCAUGGAGCUGAAGUCAGUCGAAGAUACCAGCUGGCUGCAACUGUUUAUUAAAAACACAGCACUGUGCAAACACGAAAGUGGACGUAUACGGUGUGACGCCUGCCCGGUGCCGGAAGGUUAAUUGAUGGGGUCAGCGCAAGCGAAGCUCCUGAUCGAAGCCCCGGUAAACGGCGGCCGUAACUAUAACGGUCCUAAGGUAGCGAAAUUCCUUGUCGGGUAAGUUCCGACCUGCACGAAUGGCGUAAUGAUGGCCAGGCUGUCUCCACCCGAGACUCAGUGAAAUUGAACUCGCUGUGAAGAUGCAGUGUACCCGCGGCAAGACGGAAAGACCCCGUGAACCUUUACUAUAGCUUGACACUGAACAUUGAGCCUUGAUGUGUAGGAUAGGUGGGAGGCUUUGAAGUGUGGACGCCAGUCUGCAUGGAGCCGACCUUGAAAUACCACCCUUUAAUGUUUGAUGUUCUAACGUGGACCCGUAAUCCGGGUUGCGGACAGUGUCUGGUGGGUAGUUUGACUGGGGCGGUCUCCUCCUAAAGAGUAACGGAGGAGCACGAAGGUUGGCUAAUCCUGGUCGGACAUCAGGAGGUUAGUGCAAUGGCAUAAGCCAGCUUGACUGCGAGCGUGACGGCGCGAGCAGGUGCGAAAGCAGGUCAUAGUGAUCCGGUGGUUCUGAAUGGAAGGGCCAUCGCUCAACGGAUAAAAGGUACUCCGGGGAUAACAGGCUGAUACCGCCCAAGAGUUCAUAUCGACGGCGGUGUUUGGCACCUCGAUGUCGGCUCAUCACAUCCUGGGGCUGAAGUAGGUCCCAAGGGUAUGGCUGUUCGCCAUUUAAAGUGGUACGCGAGCUGGGUUUAGAACGUCGUGAGACAGUUCGGUCCCUAUCUGCCGUGGGCGCUGGAGAACUGAGGGGGGCUGCUCCUAGUACGAGAGGACCGGAGUGGACGCAUCACUGGUGUUCGGGUUGUCAUGCCAAUGGCACUGCCCGGUAGCUAAAUGCGGAAGAGAUAAGUGCUGAAAGCAUCUAAGCACGAAACUUGCCCCGAGAUGAGUUCUCCCUGAGACUUAGAGUCUCCUGAAGGAACGUUGAAGACGACGACGUUGAUAGGCCGGGUGUGUAAGCGCAGCGAUGCGUUGAGCUAACCGGUACUAAUGAACCGUGAGGCUUAACCUU
rnacentral:rRNA from 2 species